ensembl:lncRNA
CUGUUGGGAUGUUGGCCUUUUUUUCUGUCCAACCAGUAGAAAUUUGUUUGUUUGCUGAUUUUCUCCUAGAUCAUCAUUCAUCUUUCAGUUUUGCUCAUGCUGGCUUUUUUUGGCCAAGCAGAAGUUUUGUGAUGUUUCUGUAGUUUGAAUUGAUCCAUCAUUUUCUUUUAUGGCCGCUGGAGUGUGAAUCGUAGUUAGAAAGGCCUUCCUACUCUAAGGUUGUAUCCGAAUUCUGUCAUGCUUUUUUUUAGGACUUUAAUGGUUUCAUUUUAUCGCGUAUAAAUCUUUGAUCCGUUUGGACCAUUUCCUGGCGUAUAGUGGGAGGUAUGGAUCCAACUUUAUCAUUUUCCAGAUGGCUGACAAGAGAUAUUUUUUAACAGGGAGCUGGUCCAAAACACACCAGAGAACGCUGUCUUCAGGAAAAGGUCUUAUGCCUCGGCAGAAGGCAACGAAAUCUGCCAUCCACAGCGAGGACGGUGGGACAAGGGAAGACAGAGGGACGAGGGAAGACAGAAAAGCACAUUUUGAUUUACAGAAGGUCAGGAAGAUCCCCUGGAGGAGAGCAUGGCUACCCAUCCGGUAUUCUUGCCUGGAGAAUCCCAGUGGGCAGAGGAGCCUGGUGGGCUGCAGUCCAUGGGGUCGCCAAGAGUCGGACAUGACUGAGUGCACGUGCACACAGAGGUAAGACAAAUGAGUAGAACCUGGAAGCGCGUAGGGGUGUUCAGAGCUGUGGAGACGUCAUCCAGCAGAGGAGGCACACGCAGAGCUGCGGAGGGGAGGCUGCAGGUGAAACAGGGUUGUCCUGGGGCCUUGGUGAGAGUGAUGGGGAGUCUGGACCUGAAAGCCCAGGAUCCAGCAGCACUGAGACCAGGUGACUGUUGUGGGUCCUGAAGGUCACAACUCCCCGGUCCCCUUCCCUGGCCUGCAGGCUGCCCCUGACCUCACGGCCCAGAGCUUAGCUCUAGCCACAGUGGACUCUGCUUUCCUCUCACAGCCCAGGCACAUCCCUGCCUCAGGGCCUUUGCACGCCCUGGAUAGCUGCAUGCUCACCUCUUCACUUUAUUCUGGUCUCUGCCCAAAUGUCACACCAUCAUCAAGGCCUCUGGGUGACCAGCACCCAGUGAACCAUGCCCCUCAGUGCUCUGUCCCAUGCAGCCCCCC